rnacentral:rRNA from 1 species
UACGGGGGGGGCAAGCGUUGUUCGGAAUUACUGGGCGUAAGGGGCUCGUAGGCGGCCAACUAAGUCGGAUGUGAAAUCCCCAGGCUUAACCUGGGAACUGCAUCCGAUACUGGUUGGCUUGAAUCCGGGAGAGGGAUGCGGAAUUCCAGGUGUAGCGGUGAAAUGCGUAGAUAUCAGGAGGAACACCUGUGGUGUAGACGGCUUUCUGGACCAUAGCUGACGCUGAGACACGAAAGCGUGGGUAGCAAACAGG